rnacentral:lncRNA from 1 species
GGGACUCUCCUUCUCACCAAAGGGAUCUUCCUGGCCCUCAGGUUGCUUGGUUGUGGUGUGUGAAGCAUUUGGAGCUUAGACGACCCAGUGCUGCAGAGAAGGGGCAGGUGACUAGGACAGCCACUUCCUUCCCAGCACUUCAGUUUUCUGGAUGUGUCUCUGGCUGCCCCAGAAAGGGACCGACUGUCAAGAGGCAAUAUCUCCUCUUGAAG